rnacentral:rRNA from 1 species
GAUGAACGCUGGCUACAGGCUUAACACAUGCAAGUCGAGGGGAAACGACGGGGAAGCUUGCUUCCCCGGGCGUCGACCGGCGCACGGGUGAGUAACGCGUAUCCAACCUGCCUCUGACUGAGGGAUAACCCGUCGAAAGUCGGCCUAAUACCUCAUGGCAUCGUCUGCGGGCAUCCAACGACGAUUAAAGAUUUCAUCGGUCAGAGAUGGGGAUGCGUCUGAUUAGCUUGUUGGCGGGGUAACGGCCCACCAAGGCGACGAUCAGUAGGGGUUCUGAGAGGAAGGUCCCCCACAUUGGAACUGAGACACGGUCCAAACGCCUACGGGAGGCAGCAGUGAGGAAUAUUGGUCAAUGGGCGAGAGCCUGAACCAGCCAAGUAGCGUGCAGGAGGACGGCCCUAUGGGUUGUAAACUGCUUUUAUGCGGGGAUAAAGUGAGGGACGUGUCCUUCAUUGCAGGUACCGCAUGAAUAAGGACCGGCUAAUUCCGUG